rnacentral:rRNA from 1 species
CAGGCGGUUUUUUAAGUCUGAUGUGAAAGCCUUCGGCUCAACCGAAGAAGUGCAUCGGAAACUGGGAAACUUGAGUGCAGAAGAGGACAGUGGAACUCCAUGUGUAGCGGUGAAAUGCGUAGAUAUAUGGAAGAACACCAGUGGCGAAGGCGGCUGUCUGGUCUGUAACUGACGCUGAGGCUCGAAAGUAUGGGUAGCAAACAGGAUUAGAUACCCUGGUAGUCCAUACCGUAAACGAUGAAUGCUAAGUGUUGGAGGGUUUCCGCCCUUCAGUGCUGCAGCUAACGCAUUAAGCAUUCCGCCUGGGGAGUACGGCCGCAAGGCUGAAACUCAAAGGAAUUGACGGGGGCCCGCACAAGCGGUGGAGCAUGUGGUUUAAUUCGAAGCUACGCGAAGAACCUUACCAGGUCUUGACAUACUAUGCAAAUCUAAGAGAUUAGACGUUCCCUUCGGGGACAUGGAUACAGGUGGUGCAUGGUUGUCGUCAGCUCGUGUCGUGAGAUGUUGGGUUAAGUCCCGCAACGAGCGCAACCCUUAUUAUCAGUUGCCAGCAUUAAGUUGGGCACUCUGGUGAGACUGCCGGUGACAAACCGGAGGAAGGUGGGGAUGACGUCAAAUCAUCAUGCCCCUUAUGACCUGGGCUACACACGUGCUACAAUGGAUGGUACAACGAGUUGCGAACUCGCGAGAGUAAGCUAAUCUCUUAAAGCCAUUCUCAGUUCGGAUUGUAGGCUGCAACUCGCCUACAUGAAGUCGGAAUCGCUAGUAAUCGCGGAUCAGCAUGCCGCGGGUGAAUACGUUCCCCGGGCCUUGUACACACCGCCCGUCACACCAAUGGAGAGUUUGUAACACCCAAAAGUCGGGGGGGGUAACCUUUUUAGGAACCAGCCGCCCUAAAGUGGGGACAGAUGAUUAGGG